GCUCUUUGGGGAGCUGAGCUCUUGGGGUCCUCUCACCAUGGCCUGGUCUCUUGUUUGCCUCCUCCUGCUCACCUUCUGCUCAGGCUCCCUCUCCCAGCCUGUGGUGACUCAGCCUCCCUCUGUGUCUGCAUCCCUGGGGAGCACAGUUAAACUCUCCUGCACCCUGAGCAGUGCUAGCAGUGGUUAUGAUGCUUCUUGGCACCAGCAGAGCCCAGGAAAGGCCCCUCGUUACCUCAUGUGGGUUGACAGUGAUGGAAAUGCAGGCAGGGCUGAUGGGCUCCCUGAGCGUUUCUCAGGCUCUGGCUCUGGGGCUAAUAGAUUCCUGUCCAUCAGCAACAUCCAGCCUGAGGAUGAAGCCGAUUAUUACUGUCAGUCAUAUAGCACAGUGAUGCAUUCA